UUCCACGCGAUGGCGCGACGUGCAGGUGUACUUACGUGGCGCGCACGCGUAUACAUGCACGCACGGAUUAUGUUUAAGCAGAGAAAGCCCACAUAGGGUUCCCACACGGAGCCGCGACGUGCACGUGCGUGCAUGUAAACGUGCCCGCGUGCACUGGAUUUUUUGGGGGGGGGUUAAAAUGCAGAUUUUAUAGACAAAUGAAAAAAAGACGUUUGAUACCAGUACUGUUUAUAAAUAGUUAUCACAAAGGAAACGUGUGUAUAUGUAUGUGUGUGUUUUAUAAGUUACGUUUUACCACAGGUGUCUGUACUGUAUUUAAACCCACAACUCUUUUUGUGACUUUUCUAGCUGAGGAGCUGUCUUUGUGGCUUGAAGAUUGACUACCAACUGACAUGUAAGUUCUGCAACUUUGCAUGUGAUAAAAGAGGGCAGCUACUUAAACAUUAUAGAUUGAAACAUGGUGGUAACACAAGAAUGUCACCGUUACCAUGUGUUAAUAAAGAGUGCCUCUGCACAUUUAAGUCCUUCAAUGCACUUAAGGUACAUCUAUCAAGAGUACACUCCUAAAAGGAUGAUCAUCCAAGUGAUGCUGUGGAAAAUGUAUUUCAGUGUCAACUUUGUGACUGAAACUGAUGUUGGAACGCUGGCCAGCUCUUUUCAGAAAACAACAGGUAAGCAAACAAGCAUAUUAAAUAAAUACAUAAUAAACAUCCACCAAAAUAUUGUGGUCAUUUCUUAACUUGGUACAAAAUUUUGUGUUCUGUUUUGUCUUUGAAGGUUUUUGCAGAAUUCACCAGAGUAGCAAGCAAAGAUCUUGAGCAAGACUUUUUUGAGUCCUUGGACCACCAUACCCCCGCCAUUCCUUGAGAUCUUCAAAUCUAAAAAGGGAAAUGUUGGCAGGACACUUGCAGAGAUCGUUGCACAUGUUGAAAUAAGGACCCAUGAUGCCAUAGCCAAGAGGACUGCUGUCUUACCUCCCAGUUUUUCUCGGUGAUGAUGGGAGUGAUUUCUUCAAAGUCUGCUUCGAUUCGGAUGCCACUCUGGAUUUCACACAGGUUCCUGUUGGAGUAGUGACUGUUAUACCUGAAGAGAGUCAGCAGCCAGGUCCAAAUGCCCUGCACCUUGAACCAUCCAGCAUUGGUAUCAUACUGGAAGGUAAUCUCGUCAUGGAUGACACUGAAAGCCACGCGCAAGCUAUUUGCCUCAUAUUUGGACUAAUCUAUGCUCUUCAUCUAGAUUAUCCCAAAAGUCUUAAGAACACCUUUGACUUCAUUCAGAGGGUGAUGCUCAACCUAGGUGUAGGUAACCUGAGGCCAAAACUUCAGAGCUUGAAAAAUGCGCUUUUGCAGUAGAUGGCUGUGCUGUAAAAGGUCCUCAAGCAUAGAUACUUUGGUAAACUGACCUGAAAUAUUUACAACUAAUAACCACUGCAAAAUUCUUAGACAGUUAUAGUCACAGCUGGAUGAUUUUGGCCACGUCAUAUUUCAGUUUAUAUAGUGUACCUUAGGAUAUCUACCUUGUUAACAUGCUGUUGUGUAAUGUGAUUGACUAGUUUGCAGCCAGCAGAAUACAGGUAGCACAAUGUUACAGUGUAAUCUUGUUUAUUACAGUUCAAUGCACAUAGUGUGACAUAAUUGUAAAAGGUUUCAUUUAGUUUGUAAGUUGACUGAAGCUUGAUUGAAAAUGUGUCAUAGAACCCUGUUGAAAUCUAAAGUAAAGUAGUGAGAAAGAUUUAGUUUAGUUAUUUCCAACAUUUUAAAAACACUAUUUUAUAGUAUGUAUUUUAUUUUAUAGCUGAUAUUUUUUAAGGCUUAAAACUGGAUUUGUUUUGAUUGUAUAAUUGAAUUUCUCCAUAAACACUGACCUGGGUUUAAGAAGCUCACAAUGGCAAUUUUGUUGAAAUAAACAAUAAUCCUGCAAACUUAAUCAUUCUUUGUUGUGCUUACUUUAUUUAU